CCGCACUGCUCAGUUACCGGCUGGCCUUCGCCUGGCCCCCUCGGUCUCAUUCCAGUGCAAGAUAAAUUCCUUCUAGCAGAAGGGCCAGGCUCUCAUCGUGGUCUGUCCCUUUCGAAAGCUGGGUACAAAU
rnacentral:snoRNA from 1 species